rnacentral:rRNA from 1 species
AGAGUAGCCACGGUAAAACAGAGGGUGCAAGCGUUAAUCGGAAUUACUGGGCGUAAAGCGCGCGUAGGUGGUUUGUUAAGUUGGAUGUGAAAGCCCCGGGCUCAACCUGGGAACUGCAUCCAAAACUGGCAAGCUAGAGUACGGUAGAGGGUGGUGGAAUUUCCUGUGUAGCGGUGAAAUGCGUAGAUAUAGGAAGGAACACCAGUGGCGAAGGCGACCACCUGGACUGAUACUGACACUGAGGUGCGAAAGCGUGGGGAGCAAACAGGAUUAGAUACCCCAGUAGUCCCUGUCUCUUAUACA